UGAGAGAUGGCUCACUGGUUAAGAGCACUGGCUGCUCUUCCAGACGACCUGGGUUCAAUUCCCAGCACCCAA
rfam:Mesocricetus auratus contig019316, whole genome shotgun sequence.